ACUCGAGUUGGCCAUUCCAAGUGAGAAAGUUAGAGAGUUGGUUGAAAUUUUUUGAAAAUGUAUAAAGUUGUUUUUUUUAUUGUUUUCGUAGCAUUUCUUGGUUGUUGCACUGCUCAGGUAAAUUUUUCACCUAACUGGGGAAAGCGGACACUCAUUCCAGAUGACAACAAUAACAAUUGCAGGGAAAAUGUGGAUACAAUCAUGCUCAUUUAUAAAAUUAUACAGAAUGAAGCUCAAAAAUUGGUGGAAUGUGAGAAGUUCUCGAACUGAAUAAUUAGAGUUAUAUGUUACCUAUUAUGUGCCCAUGUGAAAAUUUAUCUAUUGAAAAAUAAAAGUUAUUGUAAUUAUUAAAUAUGUCAAUUUUUUACUUGGAAUGUUUCUAGGAGCCUGUCAGUAUCGUUGGAAAAGUGUAGGUAUUAACUUCAAAAACAUGUUUGAAUUUGAAGUGGUUGAGGAGCUGAAGACAGAUUG